rnacentral:rRNA from 1 species
ACGGAAGGCAGCAGUGGGGAAUAUUGGACAAUGGGGGAAACCCUGAUCCAGCGACGCCGCGUGAGUGAAGAAGUAUUUCGGUAUGUAAAGCUCUAUCAGCAGGGAAGAUAAUGACGGUACCUGACUAAGAAGCACCGGCUAAAUACGUGCCAGCAGCCGCGGUAAUACGUAUGGUGCAAGCGUUAUCCGGAUUUACUGGGUGUAAAGGGUGCGUAGGUGGCAUGGUAAGUCAGAUGUGAAAUACCGGGGCUCAACCCCGGGGCUGCAUUUGAAACUGCCAGGCUGGAGUACAGGAGAGGCAAGCGGAAUUCCUAGUGUAGCGGUGAAAUGCGUAGAUAUUAGGAGGAACACCAGUGGCGAAGGCGGCUUACUGGACGGUAACUGACGUUGAGGCUCGAAAGCGUGGGGAGCAAACAGGAUUAGAUACCCUGGUA